UCACUGUAGUGUGCCUUGAUUUGAGGUGGUUGCAUGCAGGCCUUGCUGGUGGUGCCUGCAGGCAGUCCUCUCGUUGCCCGGGAAACACAGAUGGUGGAUGAAGGGGGCGCAUACAAAAGACCAUAAACCUGUGGCAGCAGCUGGAGACCGAGACCAGCGAUUAAUUCAGGUCUGCGCGCUGAGUGAAAGAAGUUACUGUUCUCAUUAAUACCCUCCGCUCAUGUUCUUUGUCCCGAGGCUUCCGACUCCACUUUAUCCUGUUUUCCGUGGACUGGACUCCCGUCAGUGCGCAGCUGUUGUUGGCACUCCCACAUCUGCUUCUCUCCGCUCGGCAGCCAUAUAGAGAGGACGCACAGCCGCGGUUCGUGUUAGUAGCGUGCUGCCACUCGAUCCAACCAGCCUUUCAGUGCGGGCGUAGUCACUGCGCACACACACGACGCCUGUUUUCCCGUCUGAUCGGCUUGCGGUCAGCCUGGUAGAGGAAGACGAAGAAAGCAGAUAAAAGGCGAAGAAGGAGCGAUCUUUUGCUAUCGUUUGGUGACAGGUGGAUGUGGAUCCCGGAGAUCACUGGUACUCCCUGUAGAUUCAUCCACAGUGCUGCAGACAGAGACACACAGGAUGCUGGGAGGAUCCAGAAGGGAACCAACAACAGGACAGGUUAUGUGUACAGACUGGAUUGUCGUCAUUAUCAUCUCUAGGGAGGUCACACGGAAAUUUAAUAGCAUUACUCAGUCAUUUAGAUAACUGAUAUUACUGACUCUUAUCCUAAGUGACUCAUAUGUUUUUACAGUGGGUGUUUUUCAGUCCACCGUGUCUGAGACUAAAUAUAAAGCAUAAAAAGAAACAAAAAAAAGAUGAAAGAACAACCAGUACCUGGGGGAUCUUGUGAGGACAGUUGGGUUGUGUCCCACUUUUUUCUGCUGCUUUGUGUUGUGUGCUCUUCUCCAGUUACAUCGAUGGAAAAAGAUGGGGGGGCUUGACAGGACUUCAUUGUACUCCCGGUGGCUUCGCUCCAUUGCCCUCUACUGUGCUGCGUAUGGACUGUGAUGACCACAUGGUGCCAUUUUCCCUGCCCUGCACCUUCAGAAGAGCGAGUCCGUGUUCCAGUGUUUUCCUACUGAGAGAUGACUUCUGCUUUUGCAAAUCAGUGAAAACUGUAUUUCACUUGUUGCUUCGUAGUCAACAUCAGUGUGCUCAGAUUUAGCAGGGAGAUAUUUCAUGGGUGUUGUACAGAAUAUUUUGCUGCAGUGUGAUUUUUUUUUUUUUUUGUAAGUAAAAGCGCGUCCCGGCCCAUUCUCUGACUUUAUUUUGCUGUUCUAAAACAGUGACGCGUGCGGUGACCUCUACUCUUUCUAACCCUCUGACGGUUUCUUCCUAUAUAAGAUACUUCACUCAAAGCGAGCAGUGUUUCACCAAGACUAUAUUUUGUGUCUUUUCAUAGCUGGAGUUUACUCUGACAGAUUUGUGCAAAGCUCUGAUAUUUGAGAGAAAAAAAAAGCUGCUAAAUUGUGUGAAAAUGACAAGUUCCCAAUGUGCCAUUCACACAGUAUGUUUUUGUUUGUGUGGAAACCUCUAAAGUUGAUCACACUUGUGUGUGUGUGCGUGUUAUGGGGGUGUCUACGUGAGUGCACGUGUUUCUUUGCAUGUACCCUAUACGUAUGUCUGCAUGUGUCUCUUAUCAGUCAGAUGAAAUGUAUUUGUAACGGGCCUGAAGCUAAAAGCUGCUUUACUGUGAUUUUUGUUUUCACAGCUGCACACUCAAUAACAGGCCUAUAUUCUUUUAGCCACUGGAUGUACCAGAUAAGGGAUAAAACAACAUUUACAAAUGGUUCUUAGCAUUUGUUACAACCUCACUGAAGUAGCAGUUAUUAUACUGAUUUAGAUCACAAGGAUGCCAUUGGAAAUUAAUGGUCUGUAGUUUUCUAAACGAUGCCCGCUGGCAUUAAUUAAGUUGUCCCGAUGCCUACAGUCCUAUCAUUUCACACUGAAGCCAAUUUCAGCAAAUGCUAAUAAUUAUGCGUAAAUAGAUUUUUACCCACAUCUGGGUUGUACUAACAGUAUCUCACUAAUCUCUAACAGUACUAAUAUAUGUGCUAACAGUUGGAGGAUUACUAACCUGUAUUGAGAAUGCUGUUGGCUGGCAUUUCUAACCCUAACUUGACUAACCCUCUGCUUUCUGCCCGCGGUCUGCAGCGCAUAUACUUUCUUUGCAUGAUUUUGCAUCCCUUCUUUUAGAAGUUGAAAUAAAUCUUUAAAGUUGGGAAAAAUGUUGCACUGAGCAUGUCAGGAAGGGUUUCGGGACUUGGAAAGGGAAAGAAAGCGAUUAAGCUCAAGGUGAAAAGACAAGCGGGAACAGCUGCUGGCAUCAAACUGGGUUGACCACACACUUACGAGCAAUCAACGCAAAAACGAUUGUGAUCAGAUUCAGAGAGGUCAGCCUUUGCAUUUGUACGUGCUCUGUGCGGUCAACCUGCAGGUGAGUGCCUGGCUUGUUGUCAGCUCGGGCGGUGAUGUCAGACAGAAGCUGAGCACACCUCAGUACUAACUCCUGAUUGGUGCUGAUACUAACAGUCCGGAUCCUGUAAAUGUCCAUCUUACUAAUGUCUUUGUUUGCUGUUCUUUGCUAAACUUUGAGUAAAUCAAAGCAUGCCCAGCAAUACCAGCAAUACAACUGGACAGACCUACUAUGAACAACAGUCAUCAACAGUCAUCAAAACAAUUCACUAACCCAAAAGAAGAGUGUUGAACAGCUCUCUACAAACUAACAAACUAACCUACUAAUGAACACAUAACCUAACAAAAAUGAACUAGAAUCAAUAACUCUCUGCUCAGUAUUGUUGAAGCGCCCCAGCAUCGAGGGGACGCGUCACUUACUAACAGAAUGAAAUUCAACAACGUGCUUGAAUGUGUGCGAGAGGGAGAGAGAAGAGCGAGUGUGUACAAGAGGUGUGUUUGUGUGGAAAUGCAAACAAGUUGCAAACUGGCUGUGAGCACUGCGAAAACCUCCAAAUACUCUUGCAGCCUAAAUGUAAUCCUUGAACCUCUCAGUUUAUGUGUUAUGUGGAAGCAGCAUGUUAAUUAAUGUUUACACUGACAUAAAUCGUGUUUUGAAAAGAACAAAACAAAAAAUCAAUACAAGCAAAAUGUCCAUAAGAACAGCAGGAGGUCAAAGAAAAUGUGUUAAUAAAGUUAAAAAACAAUAAUUUGAUAGUGAUUGUAUCGUUUACUGUUUCAUGAACAAUUUCUGAAUAUUUUUGUAAAGUUGUAACUUUUGUUUCUAAAACUUUGUAUCCAGUUAAUAAAUUUUUUUGCAACAUA